rnacentral:rRNA from 1 species
UACGGGGGGGGCAAGCGUUGUUCGGAAUUACUGGGCGUAAAGGGCUCGUAGGUGGCCAACUAAGUCAUACGUGAAAUCCCUCAGCUUAACUGGGGAACUGCGUGUGAUACUGGAUGGCUUGGAUUUGGGAGAGGGAUGCGGAAUUCCAGGUGUAGCGGUGAAAUGCGUAGAUAUCUGGAGGAACACCGGUGGCGAAGGCGGCAUCCUGGACCAAUAUUGACGCUGAGGAGCGAAAGCCAGGGGAGCAAACAGG